rnacentral:rRNA from 1 species
GCUACGGGAGGCAGCAGUGAGGAAUAUUGGUCAAUGGACGAGAGUCUGAACCAGCCAAGUAGCGUGAAGGAUGACUGCCCUAUGGGUUGUAAACUUCUUUUAUAAAGGAAUAAAACGAGGCACGUGUGCCUUUUUGCAUGUACUUUAUGAAUAAGGAUCGGCUAACUCCGUGCCAGCAGCCGCGGUAAUACGGAGGAUACGAGCGUUAUCCGGAUUAAUUGGGUUUAAAGGGAACGUAGAUGGGUUGUUAAGUCAGUUGUGAAAGUUUGCGGCUCAACCGUAAAAUUGCAAUUGAUACUGGCAGUCUUGAGUACAGUUGAGGUAGGCGGAAUUCGUGGUGUAGCGGUGAAGUGCUUAGAUAUCACGAAGAACCCCGAUUGCGAAGGCAGCUUACUAAACUGUGACUGACAUUGAUGCUCGAAAGUGUGGGUAUCAAACAGGAUUAGAUACCCUUGUAG